rnacentral:rRNA from 1 species
CUUUUAUGGAGAGUUUGAUCCUGGCUCAGGACGAACGCUGGCGGCGUGCCUAAUACAUGCAAGUCGAGCG